CAUAGUACAAAAGUUCAAAGAAGAUGUAAUUUUGUGAUGAAAAAUAUCAGAAUAACUUAUAUUCAAUAAUCAAUAAUUCAUAUACAAAGAUGAACUCAAUUGUCACACGAUUGAUUUUAGGACACAAUUUUCAACAACUCUCACUUGGACUAAAACCAAUCGGGACAGUAUCUUAUACUUAUUUUCUAUUUGAAAUUAUCGAAC
rnacentral:lncRNA from 1 species